GGUUAGAUGGCCGAGCGGUCUAAGGCGCCAGACUAAGGCUUACAUAAGCAUAUCUGGUCUCUUCGGGGGCGUGAGUUCGAAUCUCACUCUAAUCA